GUCGAGGAUCAUUCGCAAUGGGCGAAAGCCUGACGAUGCGACGCUGCGUGGAGGAUGAAGGCCCUCGGGUCGUAAACUCCUGUCAUGGGGGGCGAGGCGGAGGCGGUUAACGGCCGCCCGAGUUGACGGUACCCCAAGAGGAAGCCACGGCUAACUCUGUGCCAGCAGCCGCGGUAAUACAGAGGUGGCGAGCGUUGUUCGGAUUUACUGGGCGUAAAGGGCGCGUAGGCGGCCGCGUGUGUGGGGUGUGAAAUCUCCGGGCUCAACCCGGAAAGUGCGCUCCAAACUGCGCGGCUCGAGUGCGGGAGGGGAGAUCGGAAUGCAGGGUGUAGCGGUGAAAUGCGUUGAUAUCCUGCAGAACACCGGUGGCGAAGGCGGAUCUCUGGAACGCAACUGACGCUGAGGCGCGAAAGCAGGGGGAGCAAACAGGAUUAGAAACCCGUGUAGUCC
rnacentral:rRNA from 1 species